rnacentral:rRNA from 1 species
UACGAAGGGGGCUAGCGUUGCUCGGAAUCACUGGGCGUAAAGCGCACGUAGGCGGACUCUUAAGUCGGGGGGUGAAAUCCUGGAGCUCAACUUCGGAACUGCCUUUGAUACAGCACGUCUUGAGUCCGAUAGAGGUGGGUGGAAUUCCUAGUGUAGAGGUGAAAUUCGUAGAUAUUAGGAAGAACACCGGUGGCGAAGGCGGCCCACUGGAUCGGUACUGACGCUGAGGUGCGAAAGCGUGGGGAGCAAACAGG